UGAAGCUGGAAUCGCUAGUAAUCGCGAAUCAGAAUGUCGCGGUGAAUACGUUCCCGGGUCUUGUACACACCGCCCGUCACACCAUGGGAGUCUGUAACACCCAAAGCCGGUGGGAUAACCUUUAUAGGAGUCAGCCGUCUAAGGUAGGACAGAUGAUUAGGGUGAAGUCGUAACAAGGUAAC
rnacentral:rRNA from 1 species